rnacentral:rRNA from 1 species
GAUGAACGCUAGCUACAGGCUUAACACAUGCAAGUCGAGGGACAGGCGCACGGGUGUGUAACACGUAUCCAACCUGCCCUUUACUCGGGGAUAGCCUUUCGAAAGCAAGAUUAAUACCCGAUAUAAAGGCUGGGGAUGCGUUCCAUUAGGUUGUUGGUGAGGUAACGGCCCACCAAGCCUUCGAUGGAUAGGGGUUCUGAGAGGAAGGUCCCCCACAGUGGAACUGAGACACGGUCCAAACUCCUACGGGAGGCAGCAGUGAGGAAUAUUAGUCAAUGGGCGGUAGCCUGAACCAGCCAAGUAGCGUGAAGGAGGAAGGCUUAUGGGGCGUAAACUGCUUUGAUAGAAGAAUAUGUAGUAUAUGAGUAAGGAUCGGCUAACUCCGUGCCAGCAGCCGCGGUAAUAC